CGCACGCGACAUACCGCAGAAUACUCAUACCAGGCAUAAGCUCGGAGAAGAUACAACUCCCGGAGGUACGAGUCGUUCCGGCGAUUUUUGAAUAAAAUUUCAACAAUGAGCCCGAUCCUUAAUCAUGGAAUCCCGUCGAAAGACGUUUCUGUCGCGAAUUAUGGGAAUGAGGGUUCUCCCACACGGUGCUCCGAUUGUGCCUCGCAGGUGGUCUUAUGAGCUUCCCGGAGGAAGUGGGAGAACUUGAACAACGUUAAACCCCGGCGUCACUGAUAGCUCCGCGGGACCUCCCGGGACAGGCAGGAGUUACCAUGAAUACAUUCAGGAACCGACGCGGAUCCUCGAAUGAUCUCAGCAAAGCUCCUGUGAGAACGUUGUUCCCUAUCAAGCCAUCAGCUCUGAAAAAUGUGGUCGAAGAAGACAGCAGGGAAGAGGCAUCACUCCAGAGAAUAAUGGUGGACUACAACGCUCAUUCAUAUUUAGGAAUCAUCGAGAAGAAUGAACAUUGCCGGAGAAUGCAAUUCUUAGUCAAGCACUUGGAGACCAUGCGGCAGGACAGUCGAAAUUUGGACUACGACAAGUGAGGGACCGGGGACUCGUCGUGUGCUAGUGAAGUCGUCCGCUCACGCCCCGUCGGUGUGAAUCUUCCUCGCGUGGUUCGAAAGAACUUGCAAGAGGGCGUAUCCGUUGAAUGAAUGCAUCGUUCACUAAGGGGGGACGCAUCAUGACGGAAACACAUACGUGGUUUCUGGAAGCGUCUCAUAUCUCGGUGCGAUCAGGAGAAUAACCACCAUGGACACUUUUAUGAGACUGGUCGUUCGAAGGCGAAAAAUGCAGACUCCUGUUUUCACAGGCCGACGGUAACACGGUUCCGUAUAUAGGGUCUAGGGUCCUUUGUUCAAUACACAUUUUGUGAUGAAAAGGGCGGUAACAAUAAAGGUUGCUGAA